GCGCCAUUAGCUCAGCUGGAUAGAGUGUGUGGCUACGAACCACAAGGUCGGGGGUUCGAAUCCCUCAUGGCGUGCCA
rnacentral:tRNA from 1 species